AUUGAACGCUGGCGGCAGGCCUAACACAUGCAAGUCGAGCGGAUGACGGGAGCUUGCUCCUGGAUUCAGCGGCGGACGGGUGAGUAAUGCCUAGGAAUCUGCCUGGUAGUGGGGGACAACGUUUCGAAAGGAACGCUAAUACCGCAUACGUCCUACGGGAGAAAGCAGGGGACCUUCGGGCCUUGCGCUAUCAGAUGAGCCUAGGUCGGAUGAGCUUGUUGGGGAGGUAAUGGCUCACCAAGGCGACGAUCCGUAACUGGGCUGAGAGGAUGAUCAGUCACACUGGAACUGGGACACGGUCCAGACGCCUACGGGGGGCAGCAGUGGGGAAUAUUGGACAGUGGGCGAAAGCCUGAUCCAGCCAUGCCGCGUGUGUGAAGAAGGUCUUCGGAUUGUAAAGCACUUUAAGUUGGGAGGAAGGGUUGUAGAUUAAUACUCUGCAAUUUUGACGUUACCGACAGAAUAAGCACCGGCUAACUCUGUGCCAGCCGCCGCCGUAA
rnacentral:rRNA from 1 species